AGAGAUUAUGAUACUUUCUUCACAGGGGAGUUCUGAGGACGCUUAUGAAGUGCUUUGAAUCUGCAGGAAGAAAGUUACUGUAUGGUAGCAUUCAAGUCCCAUCUCUGAUGAAGAACCUUUUGCUACCCCACCUCCCAGUGAUGAACUCCACAACCUAACGUGAGCAGCGACAACUGGACUGCCCAACUGCUAUUAGCCCUGCUAACACUCUAC
rnacentral:lncRNA from 1 species